CUAUAUCAUACUAAGAUGGAGAUAAUAUGAUCUUCGAUUGGGUAUCGAUAAACGUCGUAGAACGUUGUAAAUCGAUUCGUCUAUAUAUAAUUGUGAACUUCUUUCUCAAGAUUUGCAAUUAAAGAAAUAUCCUCCGUUAACCAUGUCCAGAUUUUUUGCUAUUGUUUUGUUUAACAUAAUUUUUCUGGGUACACAGGAUUGCUAAUACAUAUGCCAUACAAUAACAAAAGUUAACCAGUUUAACUAUCAGUUUAUCUAUACUGUGCAAUUCUCAGCUGAACUUAAAACUAAGAAUCACGUUCCUAAAAUGUUAUGUGUAUCCUGUAUUCUGUAUUACUAUAUAGAUGUGAAACCUGGAUCAUGGAGGUCAAUAUGAUGAACACAUUAGAAGCCUUGGAGAUGUUGUCAUAUCGUGGAAUGCUUAAAGUCUUAUGGGUUCUACGCAUUUCAAACAUAAAAGUCUUAAACAGAAUAGGUCAAGGCGAAGGUGACUUGACGAUGAUAAAAAAGAGAAAACUCAAAUACUUGGGCAUGUAAUGAGAGGUAGCAGAUACUGGAUGCCUAUUUCAGUUAAUGCUCAACGGAAAGAUCAAGGGAAAAAGAUGCAUUGGCAGGAAGAAAUAUUCAUGGCCCUGAAACCUUCGUCAAUGGACUGGCUUGUCAGCAGAUGAGUUGUUACUUGCUGCGCAAGAUCGAGAACAUCAUCAUCACCAUCAUUCAACCCGGAUCUAUCCACUGCUGGAUAUAGGUCUCCCUCAGUGUUCUCCAUGUAUUCCUGUUUUGUGCUGUUUCCAUCCAAUUUUUGCCGAUCCGUUUUAUGUCAUCAGACCAUCUGGUUGGCGGACGACCUCUACUUCGAUAUGUUUCUUGUCUUGGUCUCCAGUGUAUUAUUCGCUGUGUCCAUCUAUUAUCUGACAUUCUAGCUACGUGCUCCGCCCAGUUAAACUUAGGGGUUAUAAUUCUUUCUAUGGCAUCUACCCUAACAACACAAAACAUUCCAGGAAUGUACUACCAAAGUUCUAUCAAUAUUUGAAUGUCCUGGCCAUUCAGUGAACAUUCGGUGAACAUCUGAUUAAAUUAUUCCUGGAAUGUUACCAUAAGACAUUCUGUGAACAUACUACCAAUGUUCCUAUAUUUUAAGCUGUCAAAUAAUAAAUACUUAUGAUAACUACUAUUAAAUACUAACAGAUAUAACAUUACUUAUAACAGAAACUUGUGCAAAAACGAAGAGAGGCAUUUAUAAUUAUUCUUAAUUGCGUUCAUUUUCAAAUUCGCCGCGCGUGUAUUUGUCAGAAUUUGUGAACGGCGCUUAGAGAGGGCAUCACGUGACUAAAAACGACCAACGAGCACCGUGACCAACGUGGCUUCGCUUCGGCCAUCUUGCCGUGCGUGUGCGUGGUAAUGUUUGGUAAACGAAACGUGUAUGUUUUUUGUUGUUUGUUUUGUUUUGUAUUUGUGCUUGUAUAGUGCAUAAAAUGUUGUCUUGUUCUCAACGAAGUUGCAGUAGCAGAAGCAAUGUAUUCUGCAGGAAUAACGUUUCAUACUAGGUUAGUAUGCAAAUUAUGUAAACAAAGAAAUAACCCCUAUUUCAGAAAAUUCUUUUUGAGUUUUUGCUAAUGUAUGCGUUUAUAAACACGAUGGUAGACCACGCACUAUAAUAGUACCAACUACAUAUAAUGAAUACACAGAAUAUAAAGAUAUUGUCGGUCCGCUAAACUCAGAGUCCCAGUACCACUGAGUCUCAGACACAACUGGCUAGUGAUUUUAGUACAUAAUUUUGCAAAUUUUACCAAAAAAAAAAUUAUUACUAAAUAGUUAAUAAUUACUAAAUAGUUAGUAAUAGGGCUUUUCAUUCACAGUCAUUUGUUUCGAGCAUCUAUCAUAAUGUCUAAUAAUCAGUGUAUAUUAAUAUUAUACACAGAUUAUACAACAUAUGACAGGAGCUGGAAACAAAUGACAAUCGAUGAAAAGCCCUAUUUUGGCAAAAUUGGCCAAAAACAAAAAAAUUACCUACUAAAAUCACUAGGCAGUUGUGUCUGAGUUUAGCGAACCGACUAUAUUAAUAAACAAUUUCUAAGCUGUUUUACAAUAUUUUUGAGUUCAUUAAUCAUAUUUUUUAUUUAAAACAUAAAUUCGUUAAUAAUGCUUAGUAAUGCAUAUAUUUGUAUUUUUAGCUUUCCAGAAGAUCCUGCGAAGAAGGCGUGAAGUAUAGAUCAGAUUUGUUAAUAGAGGAGUAUGUUCAAAACAUUUUUUAGAAAAAGAUAUUGACAGAACUUCACUUUCAUCUGUUCAUUGAGAGACUGUGCUGUUCCAAUAGCUUAUGUCACACAGAAUCAGCUGAGAGAAGUGGUCUACAAAAAACCAGGAAGGAAACGGAAUAUGUGGCUACGAAAGGCAAAAGGUUUACAAAGCAAAUGUGACACAUUUUUUUAUAGGAAUAUCAGUAAAUUACAUUAAAAGAAUGUAUGAAAAGAUUUUGUGCAAUAAAAAUGUUUAUAUUUA